CCAGACUCCUACGGGAGGCAGCAGUGGGGAAUAUUGGGCAAUGGGCGCAAGCCUGACCCAGCAACGCCGCGUGAGGGAAGAAGGCUUUCGGGUUGUAAACUUCUUUUCUGAGGGACGAAGAAAGUGACGGUACCUCAGGAAUAAGCCACGGCUAACUACGUGCCAGCAGCCGCGGUAAUACGUAGGUGGCAAGCGUUAUCCGGAUUUAUUGGGUGUAAAGGGCGUGUAGGCGGGAAUGCAAGUCAGAUGUGAAAACUAUGGGCUCAACCCAUAGCCUGCAUUUGAAACUGUAUUUCUUGAGUGCUGGAGAGGCAAUCGGAAUUCCGUGUGUAGCGGUGAAAUGCGUAGAUAUACGGAGGAACACCAGUGGCGAAGGCGGCUUACCGGACUGUAACUGACGUUGAGGCUCGAAAGCGUGGGGAGCAAACAGGAUUAGAUACCCGGGUA
rnacentral:rRNA from 1 species